UACGGAGGGGACUAGCGUUGUUCGGAAUUACUGGGCGUAAAGCGCACGUAGGCGGAUUUGUAAGUCAGGGGUGAAAUCCCGGGGCUCAACCUCGGAAAUUGCCUUUGAUACUGCAAAUCUCGAGUCCGGAAGAGGUGAGUGGAAUUCCUAGUGUAGAGGUGAAAUUCGUAGAUAUUAGGAAGAACACCAGUGGCGAAGGCGGCUCACUGGUCCGGUACUGACGCUGAGGUGCGAAAGCGUGGGGAGCGAACAGG
rnacentral:rRNA from 1 species